AAACACAUAUUACCAUAAAACUACUAAUAAUAAUUUUUCUCCCAAACACAUUAUUAUCGUGAUCCUUUUCUUUCUUACUUCUUUUCCUCUCCCAAACACAACCGUAAUAAAUCUAAAUUUUGGGCUUUUAAUAUUGGAUUAGAAGACGGAGUUUGGGUUCAUACUUCAUAGGCCCAUCGUCUUUUUAACACGUAAUUUGCUAAAAUCAAAUUCCAGAUUGUAAUGGCGGAACGAAUCUCCUUCUCGAUUGUUCGCUCUCGAUUCCAAAUCUCUGUUUCUUCUUUUCUAAUUCUCUUUCUUCUUCCUCACGCAUUAUGAUUGCAGAAUCAGAUACCCGGUCAACAGUGAUUCAGUGCAGCAGUCAACUUUUCUAUUUCUUCCCCACCUCUUCAUUUCCCAUCACUUCUAUGUUCUGAAGCUCGAUUGGAGUUUGUCUAGAAAUGAUCCUCCCUGUUGUCAAGUUGGGGGCUCUAGCUCUUAAAACCAUCUGCAAACCCAUCGCCAAUCGCCUCAAGAAGGAAGCUGGAUUGCAUCCCAAGUUUAGGCAGUGUAUUAUCAAUAUCGCACAGGCAAAUCAUCGGUUUUCGACAAAUGUACAACGAAGAAUAUAUGGUUAUGCAACAAAUGUUGCCAUUCCUCCUCUGAAUGAAGAGAAAGCUGUCCAAGCUGCUGCAGAUCUUCUCGGGGAGCUCUUUGUGUUCACGGUUGCUGGAGCUGCUGUAAUUUUUGAGGUGCAAAGAAGUUCAAGGUCGGAAGCAAGAAAGGAGGAGCUCCGCAGGCAAGAAUUGGAGGCGAUGAAGCAAAGGGAUGACGGUAUAGCCCGAGAAAUAGAAAUUCUUAAACAGAAGAUCGAAAAUCUGGAAGAGUUGUCCAAGGGACGAGGUCUAACUGGCUUAUUUCACUUCAGGCAUCCGCAUACUGCUGAAGGUGAAAACGUGAAACACUCCUGAUCAUCAUCAAGACAAAAUAAAGACCCUGCCCCACAAUGUGUAACAAAGCAUCCAAUUGAUGGAUGCUCCAAAAUGUGCUGUUGUUGAACCCAUCCUCCAUACACCACCCCUCUCCCCUCAACUCUUUCUUCAAAUCCGUCAGGCAAGGCAGCGGUCACUGUGUCAACCCCAACCGGGGGUUUGAAUACGGCGAAGAAUGGUUGAUUUGUAAGCUCAAAUCCCAAUACCAAUUCUUGGAGUUGGUCUUUUGUUAAGGUCCUGAAAGCAGAAUAGGCUUUUUGAAUUCACUUAUGAGAUGGUCUACAAAAGGACCUUCAAUCUCCCUACAUGCCUUGAAUGCUAUAGCAUCAGACUCGCAAAGACCAGUGAAAUGGCGAUGAAAAAAGCGGACAUCACUGCCAAAUAUCAUAUUGGACAUAAAUGUAACAUUUUUGGCCUCGUGAGAAUGAAGCUUGAUUGCGGAAGUUGCCAAGCCGAGAGGUGGCUUUAUAAAUUCAUCCACAGUGAAAUCAGGUCCACAGAGUUGCCUUGUUGGGGUGAAGACAUAACUGAAUGUUGUUGCACUAAUUACACUGUAAUAGAUAGAUUUGAUGCCCAAUUGAGAUGCCAAUUUAGGGAUCCAGAAAGUGAAAUCAAAGAAGAUGACAUGGGGUUUUAUGUGUUGUAGUAGGGAUUUGAUUUGUGGUUGGGUGAGAUCCAUCGCAGUCAUGAUGAGAUUGAACUGGUGAAGAUUAGAAACAUCAGCAGUAGUUUCAGCACCUUCAGGGAGACCAUCAACAUGAGGAACAAUGAUGGGGACAAAGGUAAUGAGAUUUGGAAAGUGAUUGAAAGGCUGCAAUUUGGCCCGAAUUUUUGAUGGGAUUAAGAAGGAGAUUUUGUGACCUUUUUUGGCUAACUUGUUGGCAAUUUGGAGAUAUGGAGAUAAGUGGCCAAAAGCAAACCAAGGGAACAUUGCUAUGUGCAAGCUGGAAGUGGCAGCCAUUGUUGACAUCCCUCUUUCUUCUGUCCUAGCUUCCAAGAGAUGAAUACAAAACAGAAUAACGUGACAAUUUUUUAAUGAUAAUCAAAUGGGGGUUUUAGUAACAGAGUUAUGAUCUAGACCCUAAGCAAACACAUGACAAGUUAAAGGAAAACAAAUGGUUUUGUUGAAUAGAAAGGGAAACUUAGGGAUGAGCUUUAUGGAUGAAUUGAUUAUUCCAAAAUGUUUAUGAUGUUUACAAAAGCACAACAAAGGAAGAAAAUGUUCGCGUGGUAUCAAAUGCAAACUAAUAAUAUUUGGAAUAGUCUCUAUGAACUUUUGUAAUAUUACCUUUUCUCAAAAGAAAGGAAAGAAAAUGAUUGAACAAAGAAAUAUAGCUAACAUGCAUACCUGGAGCCUGGAAGUUAUAAGUGAGAAGUUGCAGCAGAUAGUGAGAUGAAGAAUUAAAAUCCUAAGACAAUGCGUUCUGUAUAAGAACUCUCAUGGUGAUGGCUUUAGAACAAAGACAAGGAGCUAUGGUAAUGAGUAAUCCUUAAGCUAGCAAAAAGAGAGAUUGUUUUUUGCUUUGGAUUUCUUUUUUCCAUUCGUACCACAAAUGGAAAUUGAUGGCCAAGUGGAGGAAGAGUGAUAGCAGAUGUCACAAGAGCAGGAACUUGGUCAUUUGACGUUGGAAGCCGUGUAGAAAAGUAAUAGAAAAGUUCAAAUCCAAUAGGUUAGCUUUAUAUAGUUUUCGUUAAAGUAUUAAUCCUUGCAUGUUAUCUUUUUUUCUUUACAGGGGAGGUCGGAUCAAUGAUUGUUGACCAAAGCUCACCUUGAUCUCCCACCUACAAAAUAUCUUCAUGUCCUACAAAAGAUACUGUUUUGGUUAUUAUAAUGUUAUGAAUAUUGAGAUAAAACAAAAUAAUUUCUAAAAUGCACAAGUAAUACUCGUUCCCA